rnacentral:lncRNA from 1 species
CCUUGAUCAGAUUCAGACCAUUUCAUAAGGAGGUAAGGCAUACUUUCAAAUGGCCUGUAUUAACCUUUAUCUUAUUUCUCCCUUGCAGAUUCAAAACUGUGAGCUAUCUUGCAAAAAAUACAAGAAGAUAUGGAAAGUUUUCGUGAGUGCCUACCACCUAAUCCCAAACACUGUCAUUCAUAUGCGCGACAUUGAGCAAAUCAUUAUUGAGGAUCUAUAUGCCAGCAACAGCAAAAGAUCGCCAUGGGGCCGGGUGCGGUGGCUCACCCCUUUAAUCCCAGCACUUUGGGAGGCCGAGGUGGGCAGAUCAUUUGAGGAGGAUAUCUGUUCUAUAUCAUUCUUACUUCCUGGAGAGGAGAAAAUCGGAAAUAUUUCCUCUACUCUGUCAGAUUUCUGACAUCAUAUCUGUGGGAUCCACACAGUGGGGAGGUGCUGGCCUUGGAAUCCAUGGUUCCCCAGCUAUCAUUUUAAUUUAGAAUUACAGUGUUCUCUGUUAGCAUCAAGGGAAUGAACCUGAAGAGAAAAGACCAAACAUAGGACUGUUACAGGGAAGAAAAAUAUGAAAAGACCUAAAGAUGCACUUCCGCAUUACAUGUAAGGAACCUAUUUCCUAGAAUCCUAUAAAAAGCUCAAGUGAAUUUGCUUCAGUUAAUAAAUGUGAUUUAAUUAUAAUGAUAAUACCACAGCAUAUGUUUUGUUUCCUCUUUUUUAAUUGCUUCCUGUUAAUUAUUGAGAGAAGAAAUUCAGUGUAACUUGUUUGUAUUCUGAUAAUGAUGAGGCUGUCUCAUGUAUUCCGUAUGUGCUUCACAAUGUAUGCGUGUGUGUGUGUACAUAGUUAAGUUGAAGAAGA